rnacentral:rRNA from 1 species
AGUCGUACGCACUGGCCCAACUGAUUGAUGGUGCUUGCACCUGAUCGACGAUGGAUCACCAGUGAGUGGCGGACGGGUGAGUAACACGUAGGUAACCUGCCCCGGAGCGGGGGAUAACAUUUGGAAACAGAUGCUAAUACCGCAUAACAACAAAAGCCACAUGGCUUUUGUUUGAAAGAUGGCUUUGGCUAUCACUCUGGGAUGGACCUGCGGUGCAUUAGCUAGUUGGUAAGGUAACGGCUUACCAAGGCGAUGAUGCAUAGCCGAGUUGAGAGACUGAUCGGCCACAAUGGAACUGAGACACGGUCCAUACUCCUACGGGAGGCAGCAGUAGGGAAUCUUCCACAAUGGGCGCAAGCCUGAUGGAGCAACACCGCGUGAGUGAAGAAGGGUUUCGGCUCGUAAAGCUCUGUUGUUGGAGAAGAACGUGCGUGAGAGUAACUGUUCACGCAGUGACGGUAUCCAACCAGAAAGUCACGGCUAACUACGUGCCAGCAGCCGCGGUAAUACGUAGGUGGCAAGCGUUAUCCGGAUUUAUUGGGCGUAAAGCGAGCGCAGGCGGUUGCUUAGGUCUGAUGUGAAAGCCUUCGGCUUAACCGAAGAAGUGCAUCGGAAACCGGGCGACUUGAGUGCAGAAGAGGACAGUGGAACUCCAUGUGUAGCGGUGGAAUGCGUAGAUAUAUGGAAGAACACCAGUGGCGAAGGCGGCUGUCUGGUCUGCAACUGACGCUGAGGCUCGAAAGCAUGGGUAGCGAACAGGAUUAGAUACCCUGGUAGUCCAUGCCGUAAACGAUGAGUGCUAGGUGUUG